rnacentral:rRNA from 1 species
CAUCUUUUCUCGUUAGUUUUUGAAGUAUGGCCUGCCCGCUGACUUUGGUGUUGAAGGGCCGCGGUAUUUUGACCGUGCAAAGGUAGCAUAGUCAUUAGUUCUUUAAUUGUGAUCUGGUAUGAAUGGCUUGACGAGGCAUGGGCUGUCUUAAUUUUGAAUUGUUUAUUGAAUUUGGUCUUUGGGUUAAAAUUCUUAGAUGUUUUUAUGGGACGAGAAGACCCUAUAGAGUUUAACAUUUGUUAUGGUCCCUUUCUGUUUGUGAGGGUUCAUUGGGCCGUUAAAUAUGUUUUGUUGGGGUGAUGGGAGGGAUUAUUUAACCUCUCCUUUUGUUAUUAUAUUUAUUUAUAUUUACUUGAUCCAUUUAUUUUGAUUGUAAGAUUAAAUUACC